rnacentral:rRNA from 1 species
GAUGAACGCUAGCGGCAGGCCUAAUACAUGCAAGUCGAACGGUGUCUUCGGACAUAGUGGCGCACGGGUGCGUAACACGUAUGCAACCUACCUUACAUCGGGGGAUAGCCUUUCGAAAGGGAGAUUAAUACCGCAUAAGACAGUAGCUGGGCAUCCAGCAGCUGUUAAAGAUUUAUCGAUGUAAGCUGGGCAUGCGUCCAAUUAGCUAGUUGGUGAGGUAACGGCUCACCAAGGCAAUGAUUGGUAGGGGAACUGAGAGGUCAAUCCCCCACACUGGCACUGAGAUACGGGCCAGACUCCUACGGGAGGAAGCAGUAGGGAAUAUUGGGCAAUGGACGCAAGUCUGACCCAGCCAUGCCGCGUGCAGGAUGAAGGCGUUAUGCGUUGUAAACUGCUUUUAUACAGGAAGAAACGACUCUUGCGAGAGGCAUUGACGGUACUGUAUGAAUAAGCACCGGCUAACUCCGUGCCAGCCGCCGCCGUAAGAC